rnacentral:lncRNA from 1 species
UUUCCAAUAUGGGGCUCAGUCUCUAGGCAGAAAUAAUCCUGCUGUGAAAGAGGUCCUGGCCAAGACCAUUCCUCCCAGUAGAGCAGCCCCUGCCUCUUACAGGCUGCAGCUGUAUGAGCCAUUGCCAUGGUGAUGGGAAUGGGAGGAAAGAAGCAUCUCCAUUACACGCAGGAGCAGGGUGUAGUGGGCUUCCCCCACCUGGGAAACACAGAAGGAAGUAACCAAGCUGGUUUCCUAGUGUCUUCAAUGAAAGGCACAGCUGCAGGGGCUCUGUUCUGGGAUGGCAAUUGAGCCUCAAUUGAGCUUCAAGCCCCCACCCUGGACAGCAGCUCACUCCAGAGACCUGAAGCCUGGAGGAGCCCAGAGAAUCACAGCCCAAGGUCAAACACCUGACUGUCGGCUGAGCUAGCAUCCUCUCUCGAGGAGAAAGCUCGCGGCCUCUAUCCAGUGGAUCCAGACAGCCAGAACAGAGCCCAAAGGCUUCCCUGUCUGCAAAAGGGUUCCACCUCCACGCCAUCUAGCUGAGACUGCCACAGAGACAGAUCUGCCAAUGACCAUCUUCCCGGGGAGCCACAGACCCAACCUGGGGACUUCAACCAGAUGAGCAGGACAACAAUCAGCACAGAGAGGAAAAUUCUGGGUCUGUCCUCUUGGCCCCAGUCCUCCAGAACUUGGCUCUUAAGUGUCUGCCUCAAUCACUUCCUGAGGUAUUAUGGGUUCCCUCUUAGGCACACAUACACUUUCACAGGGAAUUCUGGAAGGCUGAAAAGCUUUGGAGACCUGAUUCAACACUUCAAGAAUCUCAGGAAACCGAUAUGCCCAACAUAUUAUAAAGUAUGGAAGCACAGCCAAACAAUUUAACAUUCAGGU